GGGUACCAUCAUACCAACGCUAGUGCACCGGAUCCCAUCAGAACUCCGCAGCUAAGCAUGCUUGGGCGAGAUUAGUACUAGGUUGGGUGACCUCCAACAAAGUAACCGUGUUGCGCCCC
rfam:Gossypium hirsutum cultivar TM-1 chromosome 14, whole genome shotgun sequence